rnacentral:lncRNA from 1 species
UAAGUUUCAUAUAAGUUUCAGUAUAAGAUUUGGUUGAGGCAAACUAAAAUGAAGAAAUGAACAUAUGGACAGACGACAUACAAGCAAUUACAAGGGACACUUAAUUUCCCAUUCACUGCUGUUUUAAGAGGAAUAAGAGUGUCUGGUAUUUCUAUUCCUUUGUUUUAUCUGAUUUAAAUCAUAAUUCUGAUAAAAUAAGAGGG